GAUGAACGCUGGCGGUAUGCUUAACACAUGCAAGUCGAACGGACUCUUCGGAGUUAGUGGCGGACGGGUGAGUAACGCGUGAGAAUCUGGCUUUGGGUUCGGGACAACCACUGGAAACGGUGGCUAAUACCGGAUGUGCCGAGAGGUAAAAGAGAAAUUGCCUGAAGAUGAGCUCGCGUCUGAUUAGCUAGUUGGUGAGGUAAAGGCUCACCAAGGCAGCGAUCAGUAGCUGGUCUGAGAGGAUGACCAGCCACACUGGGACUGAGACACGGCCCAGACUCCUACGGGAGGCAGCAGUGGGGAAUUUUCCGCAAUGGGCGAAAGCCUGACGGAGCAAUACCGCGUGAGGAGAGAAGGCUCUUGGGUUGUAAACCUCUUUUCUUAGGGAAGAACAAAAUGACGGUACCUAAGGAAUCAGCAUCGGCUAACUCCGUG
rnacentral:rRNA from 1 species